UGCCAGCCGCCGCGGUAACACGUAGGCACCAAGCGUUAUCCGGAUUUAUUGGGCGUAAAGAGCUCGUAGGCGGUUCAGUCAGUCGGGUGUGAAAACUUGAGGCUUAACCUCAAGAGGUCACUCGAUACUACUGUGACUAGAGUGCGGUAGGGGAGCGGGGAAUUCCUGGUGUAGCGGUGAAAUGCGCAGAUAUCAGGAGGAACACCAGUGGCGAAGGCGCCGCUCUGGGCCGUAACUGACGCUGAGGAGCGAAAGCAUGGGUAGCAAACAGGAUUAGAUA
rnacentral:rRNA from 1 species